rnacentral:rRNA from 1 species
GACGAACGCUGGCGGCGUGCUUAACACAUGCAAGUCGAACGGGCCCGCUCUCUUUUUUGGGGGUGGGUUGAGUGGCGAACGGGUGAGUAUCACGUGAGUAACCUGCCCCCUGCUCCUGGAUAACUGCUUGAAAGGGCGGCUAAUACGGGGUGUGCCGGCUGGUCCGCAUGGGCCUGGUCGGGAUAGUUUCAUCUUCGGGUGUUUCGGUGGGGGAUGGGCUCGCGGCCUAUCAGCUUGUUGGUGGGGUGAUGGCCCACCAAGGCGGUGACGGGUAGCCGGCCUGAGGGGGUGGGCGGCCACACUGGGACUGAGACACGGCCCAGACGCCUGCGGGAGGCAGCAGUGGGGGGUAUUGCACAAUGGGCGGAAGCCUGAUGCAGCGACGUCGCGUGAGGGAUGGAGGCCUUCGGGUGGUGAACCUCUUUCUCCGGUGGUGAAGGCCCUGUCCGUUGCGGCGGGGUUGACGGUAGCCGGGGAUGAAGCGCCGGCUAACUACGUG